UCACUGACGCUGAGGCACGAAAGCGUGGGGAUAGAACAGGAUUAGAUACCCUGGUAUUCCACGCCGUAAACGAUGAUGACUAACCGUCGGCGAUAGACAGCCGGUGGCCAAGCGAAAGCGAUAAGUCAUCCACCUGGGGAGUACGUCGGCAACGAUGAAACUCAAAGGAAUUGACGGGGGCCCGCACAAGCGGAGGAACAUGUGGUUUAAUUCGAUGAUACGCGAGGAACCUUACCCGGGCUCGAACGGUGCAGGAAGAGAUCUGGAGACAGUGACGCCCUUCGGGGCCUGCAUCGAGGUGCUGCAUGGUUGUCGUCAGCUCGUGCCGUGAGGUGUCGGCUCAAGUGCCAUAACGAGCGCAACCCUUGUCGUCAGUUGCCAUCAGGUGAAGCUGGGGACUCUGACGAGACUGCCACCGCAAGGUGUGAGGAGGGGGGGGAUGACGUCAAAUCAGCACGGCCCUUACGUCCGGGGCGACACACGUGUUACAAUGGCGGCCACAGAGGGAAGCUACCUGGUGACAGGAUGCGGAUCUCGAAAAGCCGUCUCAGUUCGGACUGGAGUCUGCAACCCGACUCCACGAAGUGGAUCGCUAGUAAUC
rnacentral:rRNA from 1 species